UAUGAGUGAGGGUGAGGUAGCAGAUAAUAAUAUUGAUGCUAAUGGGGUUGAGGAUAUGACUGAUAGUGAUGAUGUGAGUUUCCAGUAUGACAAUGCCUUAGAUGUUGCCUUUCAAGACUCAAAUGAAGAUAAUGAUGGUUUAGUGGAAAAGGAUAUUACACAUCUAUUGGGUUAUGACAAGGAGACAUAAGGUAAAGGAAAAAAAUAGUGAGGAAUGUGAAGGUU
rnacentral:lncRNA from 1 species